GUUGGAAAAUCACAGGCUCCUCAGCCCCAGCUAAUUACUACCUCCAGCAGCACCGCUAUAGGCCGCUGCAUAAAGCAGAAAACUCUUCGUUUUAUGCAAAACCAAGGGUGGCAAAGAAGGCAGCUUCCAACGAGUGGAAAUUGGAUAAUUGAAUCAAUGUGUUCUUUUUGAAAAGCGAGAGGAUGUAGUAAAGUAUCUAAUUUGGACUGAGGGCAAGCAGAAUGGCUUCUCAUGUUUCACACUAAAGAUGGCCUCCCAGAUAAGUGACACGCAGACCCUGGUGAGAACAGUCACCUUUGCUGUAGGAUUACAGCCGGGCACAAAGUCACGAGUGCCACAGGCUGACUGUGGUCAGAUCAAGACGUCAUGUAUGCUGACGUUUCCAUUUCUGGGUCUCCGAAAUUGAGUGACUGCACGUGCCAGCAUCUACUGUCUUCAAAGCAUCAUGCUGGACUUCGUAGACGAUACUCAGAUGUGGCGCUGGAUGUGAACCCGGUCCCGAGAAGCAGAUCUUCGCUUUGGGCAGAAAGAAGCAAACCCAUUAGAAAGGUAGGCGGGACGAGACAUCACCCAAAGGCUGCACAGCCAACGUCCACAGUGGGGAGUCCCUCUGGGGGCAAUGGGGGUCUCCGGCAAGACUUGCCCAGAGGCUUAAAGCAGGGGGUCUUGACUGCCAGGAGGACGUGGGUGGAGAAUGAGGAGAAGGGAGGGCCCUGCCCCAGACAGGAGCGGCCCAGAUUCAGGCUGGGGCAACGCAAAGGCACAUUAGGAGAAUGUCUAUCAAAAUGUCUAUCCAAAACAGCCCUAUUCUGAAGUCCGCUUCCUAGAGCUGUUAAGAUUAUUAAGCACACAACUGUUCCCAAAUCCUAAUUAUCUGUUCUGAUUUAGGGGGCUAAGAAGCUGGAUAAUUGACAACAGCAACAAAUCCAAAAGUGAUUUCCAGCUGGCUUUGGAGCGCAGCUGCUCUGACUUGCUAAUUACCUUGCUUCCCCCUGGACGCACAUCACACAUCGCCAAGGCCAGGUGGGAAACUGUCACGGACAGUAGGAAGAAUCCCUUUCUGUGGUAGAGCAGAAGAAGAGUCUGGAAGACCAGGCACAACCAGGUGAGUUUUUUUUUUAAUGUUCAUUUAUUUAUUUUGAGAGAGAGAGAGCACGUGCACAUGCACGAGCCGGGGAGGGGCAGAGAGAGAGAGAGAGGGAGAGAGAGAGAGAAUUCCAGGCAGGAUCCACUCUGUCCGUGCAAAGCGCAACGUGGGGCUCCAUUCCGUGACCGUGGCACCAUGAGCUGAGCCGAAACCAAGAGUCUGAUGCUGCACCGACGGAGCCACCCUGAGUCACUCAGCCAGGUGAGUUCAUGUGUGACCUCGGGUGCACUUUCUCUUUAUCUCAGCUCCCCCAGUCUGUAAAUGGAGGAUAUAAUCCCUCCUGCCUCCCUGAGUUGUUUAGGGACCAAGUGAGCUGGCCUAGGUGUAGCAACACUAUGAGUGCUGCCCCCAGACCCUGCCGGAGCCUGCUCACUGGAUCUGUGCGCCCAUCCCCCAGUUUCUGAGUGCUUUGCUUCCAGAGGCUCCCACCUGAGACCUUCUCUGGUGGAUGGCCCUGGGGCUGCUGUAGCUGCUGCCUUCCCCCCACCCCCGCCCCCUUGCUGGUUUCUCAUGGGAGCUUCUCCGUUGUAAAUCACUCACACGUGAAUCUUCUUCGAACUCUACUCCUGGUGAAUCCAACUGAAGACAGUUUACAACAUCAUUUCAAAGGUCUGCGAACCAAAUACAUACUUGUAAGGAAUUACCAUGUGAAAUAACUUCAGAGCUGACUGUACAAAUCUUACAUCUCUGAAUUAUUGGGGUCAGAACAGAACGAGAGGUCAAAGGGGACCUGUCGCUAGUUGUUCCGUAACGUACUCAGCGCGGUCAGCCUCCGUGACCACCAUACUCCUGACUUUGUGUUUACCGCCCCAUCACCAAAUCAACUGGGAGCCUUCAUCUUCUUGGGCCUCUGGGGGCCUCCUCUGCUGCUCUGUCAGCUAAGGCUGCACUGUUUUCCACCCAGGGGUCGCCAGCUUAUUCCCACUCCACUUCCUGCGUGACCUUUCUCAGGGCUCCAGGAAAAAGCCAAGUCUUGAGCGGAGGACAACGGCCCAGGCUGGAUUCAUUUUUGAGAACUGUAUAAAAGAAGGUGCAUGUUUUUGGCAGUUGUCAAGGGGAAGAAAUCAUGGACCCGGAUUGCUGAUCAACAAAACUUAAAUAGAAACAGACUAUUCGUUAUGUCACCCGAUUUGGUAUUUUUAUAAGGAACAUAUACACACAUGCUUUCAGAAUAGGUGCUCAAUAUUCAAAGUCUUGUUUUGAUCUCUCUCCUAUGGCUAGUGAGUUUCCACAUAUCAGGGACGUCCAUGGUAGCCCGGGGACAAGGAUGGACCCAUCACCAUGUUCAGAUCCUCAAAGUUUUCAUCUGCAUUCAGUGAGAACGUUUCAGCCCCUGUUCAAAACCAGAUGACUUUAGAGACAAUAAAUAAUCAGACUUACCUUAUGAGACCCA
rnacentral:lncRNA from 1 species